rnacentral:lncRNA from 1 species
AAGCAGUUGGUGGUGGCUGAGCCGGUGGCGUUUGAGUGUUAACUGGAGGAGGAGAACUAUUGGGUGUUGGUGGAGCUUGGUUCGUGGGUGUUGGUGGUGCCUGGGUAGUGGGUGUAGGAGGAGCUUGGUUCGUGGGUGUUGGUGGUGCCUGGGUAGUGGGUGUAGGUGGUGCUUGGGUAGUAGGGGGUGUAGGAGGAGCUUGGUUAGUGGGUGUUGGUGGUGCCUGGUUAGUGGGUGUAGGUGGUGCUUGGGUAGUAGGGGGUGUUGGUGGUGCUUGAGUAGGUGUUGGUGGUCCUGGAGGUGCUUGACCACCAACUCCAGCUAUGAUAAUGCAGAUCAUAAAUCCCAACGAAACAGCAUUAUUCCUAUCCAUCAUUUUGACAAUAUAAUGGAGAGGAGGAAAUUGAA